AUGAAUUAAACUUGGUCAAGCUGUUGCUGGUCUUUCGGGACAUGUGCACGUUUGCCACCAAUUUUAACCACCUGUGCACCAUUUGUAGACUGGAAACGUUUCUCGAGGCAACUCGGAUUGAGGACUGCUGUGCGCAAGCCGGCUGUUCUUGUGUUUCUCAGUCUAUGUUUUUAUAUACUCCUAAUGAAUGUAUCAGAAUGUAUUGCUGGGCCUUAGUGCCUUUAAAUCAAAUA
rnacentral:misc_RNA from 1 species